CUUCCUCGAUCUGUUGAGGACAGAUAAAAUGAAUAUGCGCAUCGACCCCACCUGCGGUCAAGAUAUGUCCUUCUCCUGCAAUAACUUCUGUACCAGCCCCAAUGACAAUGUCCACGGAUGAUUGAGUAUCAGGGUUCCCUGCUUUACCCACAGCUGAAAUACGUCCCGACUUGAUACCAACGUCAGCCUUAACAAUACCCCAAUGAUCCACUAUUAGGGCAUUAGUUAUUACUGUAUCCACGGAGUGCUCACAACCUACUUGACUUUGGCCCAUCCCGUCUCGGAU
rnacentral:sRNA from 1 species